UACGGGGGGGGCAAGCGUUGUUCGGAAUUACUGGGCGUAAAGGGCUCGUAGGCGGCCAACUAAGUCGGAUGUGAAAUCCCCAGGCUUAACCUGGGAACUGCAUCCGAUACUGGAUGGCUUGAAUUCGGGAGAGGGAUGCAGAAUUCCAGGUGUAGCGGUGAAAUGCGUAGAUAUCUGGAGGAAUACCGGUGGCGAAGGCGGCAUCCUGGACCGACAUUGACGCUGAAGAGCGAAAGCUAGGGGAGCAAACGGG
rnacentral:rRNA from 1 species